UAGUAAUUAGCUUUAUUCAAAACAAAUGAUUUCGACUCAUUAGAUUAUGAUUUAUUUCAUAAUUACUA
rnacentral:tRNA from 1 species